rnacentral:tRNA from 1 species
GUUAAUGUAGCUUAUUGUUAAAGCAAAGCACUGAAAAUGCUUAGAAGAGUAAUUAUACUCCAUAAACA